rnacentral:rRNA from 1 species
UUGAAGAGUUUGAUCAUGGCUCAGGAUGAACGCUAGCGACAGGCUUAACACAUGCAAGUCGAGGGGCAGCGGGGGAGCAGCAAUGCUCCCGCCGGCGACCGGCGCACGGGUGAGUAACACGUAUGGAACCUGCCCGCAGCAGGGGGAUAAGCGGAAGAAAUUCCGUCUAAUACCGCGUAACACCGCGGAGGGGCAUCCCUCCGCGGUUAAAGAUUCAUCGGCUGCGGAUGGCCAUGCGGCGCAUUAGCUAGUCGGCGGGGUAACGGCCCACCGAGGCGACGAUGCGUAGGGGUUCUGAGAGGAAGGUCCCCCACACUGGUAUUGAGACACGGACCAGACUCCUACGGGAGGCAGCAGUGAGGAAUAUUGGUCAAUGGCCGAGAGGCUGAACCAGCCAAGUCGCGUGAGGGAGGACGGCCCUACGGGUUGUAAACCUCUUUUGUCAGGGAGCAAGGGACAGGUCGUGACCUGUUGUGAGAGUACCUGAAGAAAAAGCAUCGGCUAACUCCGUGCCAGCAGCCGCGGUAAUACGGAGGAUGCGAGCGUUAUCCGGAUUUAUUGGGUUUAAAGGGUGCGCAGGCGGAGGCACAAGUCAGCGGUAAAAUCGCGGGGCUCAACCCCGCUCCGCCGUUGAAACUGUGUCCCUUGAGUGCGCGAAGGGUAGGCGGAAUGCGUGGUGUAGCGGUGAAAUGCAUAGAUAUCACGCAGAACUCCGAUCGCGAAGGCAGCCUACCGGCGCGCUACUGACGCUCAUGCACGAAAGCGUGGGUAUCGAACAGGAUUAGAUACCCUGGUAGUCCACGCAGUAAACGAUGAAUGCUAUCUGUCCGGCCGGAAUGACGGCUGGGUGGCACAGCGAAAGCGUUAAGCAUUCCACCUGGGGAGUACGCCGGCAACGGUGAAACUCAAAGGAAUUGACGGGGGCCCGCACAAGCGGAGGAACAUGUGGUUUAAUUCGAUGAUACGCGAGGAACCUUACCCGGGCUCAAACGACGCAGGGAUGCAUGUGAAAGCAGGCAGUCCUUUUGGACCUGCGUCGAGGUGCUGCAUGGUUGUCGUCAGCUCGUGCCGUGAGGUGUCGGCUUAAGUGCCAUAACGAGCGCAACCCCCAUCUUCAGUUGCCAUCAGGUACAGCUGGGCACUCUGGAGAGACUGCCGGCGCAAGCUGCGAGGAAGGCGGGGAUGACGUCAAAUCAGCACGGCCCUUACGUCCGGGGCGACACACGUGUUACAAUGGCAGGUACAGCGGGAAGCCAGGCGGCGACGCCGAGCGGAACCCGAAAACCUGUCUCAGUUCGGAUCGGAGUCUGCAACCCGACUCCGUGAAGCUGGAUUCGCUAGUAAUCGCGCAUCAGCCAUGGCGCGGUGAAUACGUUCCCGGGCCUUGUACACACCGCCCGUCAAGCCAUGGAAGCCGGGGGUGCCUGAAGUGUGCAACCGCAAGGAGCGCCCUAAGGUAAAACCGGUGACUGGGGCUAAGUCGUAACAAGGUAACC